AUGUAGUAGUUUCUUAAAAAAAAAUCAAAAUUCGUUUUUCUUCAUAAAAGCUCACAAAAGUUGGUUUUUGGUUUUUCUUCAUAAAUUGGUUAAACUUUUCAAAAACUAGUUUCACUAAAUUUUAGGGAAUCUAUUUAUUGAAAAUCUUGAUUGGCAACUCAAAUGGUGUUUAUAAAAACAAAAACUAAAACCAAAAACUUGAUUGGAUGAAAAAUGGUUUCUACAAAAGCAAAAACCAAAAACUAAAGCAAAAACCACAAACAAUCAACUUCAAAAUGAGCUCUCAGUUACAACCUCCCAGCCAAGUUUAGUUGGAACUACGCUAUUGCAAUAUUAUUCGUCGAGCGGCUGAGUUCACCAUCAGUGACGUUUUCCACUGCCUCCAUGCCCACGUACGUCAGAUCACUUACCUCCAAAUACGGCAACACCGUUUACAUGAACAUCAGACUAUGCCAAUUUGCCAAAGCUCCACUACAAACGCUACAUAUGUACAACUCAAAAAUGGAAUUUGAGAACGAUAAAAGAGAGGCACAGUAGACAGAAAGGUUCAAGGAACAUUUCUAGAGAGAAUUGGAAAAAUGAGGGACUUUGAAGUUCAGUUUGUCUCAAUAGAGCUUUUGAUGUUUUUGGUCAUUUUUGACAUGUUUUAUCAUUCUGUAAUAGGAAAAGUAGUAAAUUAAAAUUUUAAAAUAUAAAAAAAUAAUAAAAACUAUUAGAUACAUAAGUAUGACUAUUUAUAUGCUUUAAUUUUUUUUUUAAAUAGUAAAAUUAUAUUUUAUUUUAUGUCUUAUCUGAGCAUAGAAUACUCAUUAUGUCCAUCUACUUAGUUUAGAAAAUUGGAUACUAAGUAUUGUACACAUAUCUAUCGUUGGUAUAUAAAGUAAACAAAACAUUCUUAUAUAUUCUACCUUACCUAUAAUUUGUUCGGUUUUAUUCUAGCAAGAUAUCGUUAAUCUACCUGAAGCUUGAUAACUCUACACCUAGGGAAUAAUAGAUUUGUCACCCACUAUGCAGUGUUCUACUCUACGUAGGAUACAUAUUAUAGCCAAAUCACGAAAAUAUGGAAACUUUCAUAUUUUGGUUAAUGUAUUCCGUAAAUCUACAUGAAAUCUACCAUAAAUCUCGCAUAGUAUCUUUUCUCCCACGUUUUUACCUUUUAAGUAUUAAAUCAGUUACUAAGUAUUAGUAUUUGUAAUUCAGAUUAAUAUAUUAAUUUAAAGGUAUUAUGGUAUUACAAGGAAUUUAAAUCCUAUUUUCUAAAUAAUCUUCUAAAAGUUCUACUUUGGACAAACUCAAGUUCUAACUAUCCCAUUUUUUCCAUUUUCAUAUUUCUAUUACAAUAAUGCUAAGAAGGCUUUCACCACCUCCAGCUAUCGGCCAACAAUUUGUGUGACAGUAGAACAUUUUUUAUUCUUUUUUUUUGUCAACCGGUGCGCCGAUGCCAUCGCUCGUAGUGUCACAAGAGAUCAUCGCUAUGCUUCGUAUAUUGAGAAAGGUGGCCCUUAUUGGUUUCUUCCUAUGAUUCAUGCAGAUGCUGUUGGCACGGUUAAUGAGUACUAAUGGAAAGCGUGCGUCUGGUUUUCAUCUUCUCUGAUCCAUUUCAUUUCAUUCCCAACGGAGAUGGAUGUGAGCAAGGGAGAUGAUGUUGAGUUUUGGGUUUUUUUUAAUUUUGGAGUUUGGGGCCUGUUGGUUCCACCAAACUCUGUCUGUUUCGACUAUGUUACUCUUUCUUAUGAACUGGCGACAAAGCGUAAAAAAAAAAAAAAAAAAAAAAAGGCCCAAAUGGGCAUACUACAAAGGAGUUACAUACAUCCCAAUUCUCAUUAAUACAAACUCGACCAAACCAUAAACCCAAUAAUAUUAGACCCAAUUUAUUGACCCAAUAUUUCCUUCGAGUUAUUACACGCGUCUCUACGAAGUAAGUCUUCAACACGCGUCCUUUUCUGUGUUUACAUGAGAUUAUAGCCAAAAUAGGAUGACACGUGUCCCUGAACACCACGUGUGGGAUGAGAAAUCUGAGACGCAACCUCACCGGCGAACCGCCGUCUUCCUGAGCUUUGUCUCCGGGAACUAUUUGAAACUCCUUCGCUUCUUAUCUUUCGUUCAACCGUCACUUUAGUUAGAACCACCAUCAACGCCGCCGGAUAAUAAACCUGGGAAUACUCAGUUGAUCUAAUAGAAUAUUUUACCGGACCACCUUCGAUAUAGGGAACAUGCUAAUUCAUCUAGAUCUCCAUCAGAACCAACCAAAAUCAAUCCAACAUCACAUAUUCCUUUCCAUCUAGGAUACUUUACCCAUAAACCGAUUUAGCGGCUCCAACAUAAGAGAGUAAAGAUUGAUUCCUUUUGGAAAGGAGAAAGUGCUAUCCGAGAGAGAAGAGGAAAGUCUUCUUAAGCAAACGGGAUUUUGCUGACAAACUGCGAAAGAUAAGGAUUACGGUAUUUACACCGAUCCCUUUCGAAGAACAUGGAAACGUCCUUGAAACUUUGCUUCGACUGAAAUCGGAUACACCACAAAAGUCGCCACUGGGAAGACUAGAUCCGCUAACCGGGAUAAAAAAGAUUUGCCGAGCGAAAGUAUCUACAACAAAAAACAAAAGAUAAAAGGGGUUGGUGACCGGCGGCGCCGCCACCGGCCACCGGAAUUGAUUUUCUUUGAUGAAAGUUCUAGAGAAAUCAGAGGAAAGGAAAGAGAGAGAAGGGUUUUUGCGUAUUUUCGGACUUUUUUUAUUCUAUUCUUUUGUUAUUCAUAGAAAAUAUAUAGUUUGACUAAGUCACCACCCGUUUACGUAACAACUAAUAAAAUAUAUUAUUUAUCUACUUCCAUUAAUAUGUCAAUAAAUACACUUCAACAAUUUACAUUUCGUAGAUGUAACCUCUUUUUUGGUUAAACCAAAGAUUGUAACUUAAAGUUUAAUACUAGUUUUGAAUCUUUUUCAUGUUCUUAUAGCAUGAUUAGUACUAAUAUUGGUUAACACUAACAUAUUUAUCUAUAUAUGUUCAUACUCCAACUCAAAUUUGGUAUUACGUAUAUGAAAAAAAUAAUAUUUUGUAAUAUUAAUUUAGCAACGCAUUAGCAAUAUUUUUAUUUAAAUUAUCACUACAACAAAACAUAGGAUUUAUGACGAACGGUAUGUUAUUAAUUCGUCGUAAAUGAAGUGUUACAACGAAUAAACAAUGAUAUCAAAAUAGUCAUAAAACACCCGUUGAAAAAGUUUUGUCUUAAAUUUCAGGCACAUCGAUUCGUCGUCAAAAUCAUCCUUAACCUACGAGGAAAGGGUUUGCCAUAAAUUACUAGGCUUCAUUGUAAAGUCCUCGUAAAUAUUCAAAGUGAACUCGUCGUUUAAGUUGUGUCAACACGACGAGUUUAUAAGGAAGUUGAUGUUAGUUCCUAAUAAAUAUUUACGACAAAUUUACAUGUACUUCCUCGUAUAUUCCUUGUAAAAUUUUAUGAGAAAUUUACAUCUACAUCCACGUAAAAUAUAUGUAAAAAGUUAUGAGGAAUUAUCAUGUACUUCAUUGUAAGGUAUUCAUGUUUUUCUCGGAAAAUUGAAUUUUUGUUUUAAAAAAAAAUUAAAAUAACCAAAAUUUAAAAAUUAUUAAAUAAUUAAAUUUGUUAAAUAAUUAAAAUUAUUUAGUAAUUAAAUUUUAAAUAAUAGAAGUUAUUAAAAUAUAAAUAUUAUUAAAUAAUUAAAAUUAUAUACAAAAAUAUUCAAAUACAUAAUAUAAAAAAAAAAACUGAAAAUAAAGCUAGCGGAGGACGUCGUCAUCUUGGAACUAGUCUCUGGUGAUCGUUCUCUCUAACUAAGCUGCCUCCUUAUCCGCGGAUCAGGAAGGUAGAUCUGGAAUCCCGAGUACUACCCAUCUAUUCCACAACAUCCUCUGCAUCUGCGGAUUUCUGUCCGCCAUAAGGUCGAGAAGACAUUCAAAGGACUCCGUGCGAGCUUGCAUAGAAUCCAAGUCAGACCGCAUCCGGGAAGACUCUUCUUCCCGUCUCUGGGAAAAAUCGAUGUUGACCAUGGAAUAUCGCUAAUAUUCUUAGCGUCCGCCCCUUUUUAUGGACAACCUGUAAAAGAAAAUAAAAAAAAUACUUAAAUAAUAAAAUUAUUAAAAUACAAAAAAGGUUAAGUAAUAAAUAAAAAAUCAUGAAAUUGUAUAUUACCUCUGAAAAUUUUGUCCAUGGACAUUUGGACGGGCUACCAAUCUGGAGACUGCUGCAUCAGCUGGGUCAUUUUGCAAUCUGAGCAGACACGCCAUUGUGUAUCUUCUCUGACAUAGGAUCCACGAAAAGACUGCCUUGUGAGUGUGUAGCCCAAAAAUCUCAGAAAGCGAUGAUAGCUCUCCGCCUUUCUUUGCGGCCUAAAAAAUAAAAACAAACACCUGAGUGGCAUAUUUUUGGCAUGAAGUGUGAACCAUUGACAAAUGUCCAUGCUCAUCACUCGUCGAACGAGAAGUGGAGCACCGCUGCGAUUCGGACUGAGUGGGAUUUAGUCCAUUCCAUACAUCUUUUAUGAGAGAGGAGGCUUUGCUUCAUAGCCCCAGCUCCAAAAUGACCUUCCAGUUGGAGACGGUGUUGCAUAGGCACGUCUUCUCCUUCAAUACAAUUUUUUCCUUAAUCUUCUCGUUAAUCCCAAUGGACCAAUUCUAUUUUUCUUGAGAAUGAAUAUUAGAAAAAAAUAUAUUAAAAUAUAUAGUAUACUAAUUAAAAAUUUAACUGUUUAAAUUUUAUUUCUUACUAACCGCCAAACACUUAAACCAAGUGGUCUUAAUGUACUCCAGUGUCAGGGUCCAAUUAGGAUGUGUCUCUAUGAAAUAGCCUUUGACCGUGUCAAAAUCACUCUGUUGGACAUGUCCGUCUACCCCAAACCUGGAAAAUAAUAAUAAAUAAGUUAAACAAAUUUAUCGUAAAAAUAUAUUAUUUAAAUCAUAGUAAUAGUUUUUUAUAAAAAAAUAUUAUGUUACAAUAAGUUUCAUGUGGUAGAUCGGGAUCUAAGACAUCUAAACCUUCUCAUCCCAGCUGGGCGGAAAGAUCUUCGACGGUAUAAUGAGAGUAUAGUGCAUCAGGCGACAACAACAAAUCAUGAUGUACUCCCGCUGCUGGGGGAGGAAGAGCACGGUCUGGAGUAACAUGAUCAUGAGGAGCAUCGUUUGUAACCACAUAAGGAGCAUCGUUUGUAACCACAUGAGGAGCGAGUGGAGGUGCAAAGGGAGGAACCGGUGCAAAGGGAGGAACCGGAGGUGCAAGUGGAUGUGUCAGUCAUAGCAAUUAUGAGAUUUUGGGACAAAAUCUGGAGCCGUAGAAGGACCACAUGAACUAGAUGUGGGAUCUCAUGUGCUGAAUGUCUCACUAUAAUGUGGUGGUGGACGCUUUCUACGAACCAUCUAAAAAAAUUCAAAUUAGAAAAUUAUAUAUAGAAAUUGAAAUCCAAUUCCACAACUUAAUCUCUAUGAAUUCCACCUAAACUUAACUAGCUAAAAAAACUAACCCUUUUUGCCGAUGGAAACGAGUGGGAGUGAGUUUCAGGGGAACUGAGUGAAAUGAGUCCAAGUAUAGAUAUAGAAAAUAGGGUUCCUCGUACGGUCAUCGUAAAUUUAUGAUAACCUAGCUUGUGUUUUUUCUUUACGACAAAUUAACAACAUCUGGCGUUGUCAUUUUACGAGACAUUUACGACGAAUACCAUUUACGAAAAGGUUCCAUGUCUAGUGUUUCUUGUUAUGUGGACUUUGCGACGAAUACCAUUUACGACGAAUUUUUGAGGAACACUUCUGAAUCCCUAAACUUAAAUCCCUAAACCCCAAACCACAUAAUACUUCAUCUAUUUAUACAUGAUUGUUAUAACUUCAACACACAUUUAUUACAUCUUAAUUCAUCAUUAGAGUCUGAAAUCAUUUAUAAAUGAAAUAUAUUAAUGUUUUCAGAAAGAAACAUUAAUUAAUAUUAGUUAUGACAAUAUUACAUUAUUCAGAUUCAUCGUUUAAGUUAUCAUCACAAUAUUGUACAUCACUUUCAUCAAACUCGUCUUUAUUUUCGUAAUCGGUCUCAUCGGCAGGAAGAUUUCAUAUUCACAGUUAUGUAAAUCAAUAAGAAGGAUGUCAUCGGUUUGUUGUUCAUGUACCUCUACUGCAUUGACACAAAUGCUUGUUGUAAAGGGGUCAUCUCCACAUAUAAUUCUAUCUCGAGGUGUAAUUUUUAUUGCAGAAAACCAAGUAAUUCUGGAAUCUUUGAUAUGGGGAUAUGAGAUGAAGCUAACUUGGUCUGCUUGAGAAGCUAAUAUGAAAGACUCAAAUUUGUUGUAUCUUCGUCUUAAAUUAACAUCAACAACUCUAAAUUUGACGAGGUUGAACCAUUCACAUUUGAAGAGGAUGCAUUUCAUCUUACUAACCAGGGAAUUCUACUUCUAUCUUCUCUUGCAAGAUCCCAUAGAAAUUCGUUUCACCUUUCACACAUUCUGUAAUUCCUCGUUUCCCAACGUUUACAUACUCGUAAGUAUAAAAAGUAAAGCCACAUUUGAAAUACAUAGGUAAUGUGGUGAUCUUUGCAACCGGAUCUUGAACGAAUUUGUGAAGCCAUGUGGGAUAAUAUGGAUCAUCAUAAUCAACCUAGUUACAAAAAUAACACAAAAUUUUGAUUAAUACAAAAAUAACACAAACAUUCAAUUAAUUGAUAUUAUUAAUUCAAAUAUGUAAGUACAUGAGUCCUUAACAACUUAACAAAGUGUAGAUCUUUUGGUUUGUUCACCUCAUCUGUGGAUAUACGUGGUAUCACUUAUUUCACUUUAGCAGUAAAUAAGUUACAAAAUAACAGAAUAAGAUUAAUAUAUAUAUAUAUAUAUGAACAAAUUGAGUAGACUUUUAACCCUUACCUUUCAAAUAAACACUUCAUAUUAUCCUCACAACUGAUAAAAACAUAGGUGUGGGCACUGUGGGAGUCUUCUUGACUUGAACAGCAAACAUGUUUCAAUUUUCCACCUAAACGCCCGAUUUGGGAAAAGAUGUUUGGAACACCAUCAACUACAUAUGUUGGCGCAAUACCACCAUUAUCAUAUCUAUGUUUAACUCGUUUUUGGGUAUGAACUUUUGGGACAAAGAAAUAGGAUAUAAAGUGCGAUGUUCUUCAAUCAAACUCCCAGCAACUGUGGAACCUUCCACCUUUGCAAGAUUUUUUGUUUUUUCCUUUCAAAUGCCUCAUAGAUCGCUCGUAUGGGUACAUCCACCGAAAAUGAGCAGGUCCACCUUGUUAUAUCUCAUAUGGAAGGUGGACUACGAGAUGUUCCAUGACAUAAAAAACAGAGGAAAUAUAUUCUCUAAGUUGCACAAUAAAAUCAUAAUAUUUGUCAUUGAGUUGUUGGAUGACAUCUUCAAUUAACGUACGUGUGCUUAGAUCCCUGAAAAAUGCUUCAUUAACUUGUAUGGUGCAAAAGUAAAUACAUUAGUAGUUAGUUACUAAGUAAGAAACAUGUUAUUAAUUGGUAUUAAAAAUUAAAAAAAAAUAUUUUACCUGCAAGCGGUUCAUGUAUAAUUGUUGGAACCAGCUCAGCAAAUGCAAAUGGAAGUUGACUUUGCAUAAACACAUGACAAUCAUGACUCGUCAUCCAUGUGAAUUAUUGAUCUUGUUCAACACAUCUAGAGAGAUUUGAAACGUAACCAUCGGAAACUUGACUUAUGAUGCCACCUUGUUUAACAUCGUUGUAUUUGCUUCUGGAGACAGUCUGAAUAUAAGAACUGGAACUUUCCAUUGUUGUUGAUAUGUAACUCCCUUCUUGAGAAAAUAUCAGAUAAGUCCAACCUUGAAUUUUUGUUGUCUUUUGUUUUUCCUUGGACGUUAAAUAUUGUGUUUAUGAUGUUGUCGAAAAAAUCAUUCUCUAUAUGGAUCACAUCAAGGUUGGAUGCAAAAGCAGGUCCUUCUGGUAUGGCAUCUCCCAAAAUAUACUCUUCUUGUGCCAAUUGUGAUGAACUCCAUAAUAAUCAAACAUAUUUCCAUGAAUAUGCCAAUUACCCCCACGAUAAGUAGUUUUUUCAGCACCUUAGUAAUCAAUAUGCUCUUCAAUUUGUUCUCAACUUAAAUAUGGAGGAGGAGUGUCCCAUACAACUCUUUUGUUCCUAAACAAUGUCUUGUUUCUUCAGUACGGAUGGUUAACAUGGAGAAAUUAGUGAUGACAAUUAAAACAUGUCUUCCUACCAUGCUUCAGUUGAAAUUCAUAUGUCAUAGCAAAAAAAUAUGGACAAGAUAACCUCUCAUGUGAUAGCCCAGCCAGAUAGUGUCCCAUAAGCCGGAAAGUCGCUUAUGGUCCACAUAAGAACUGCUCGCAUCGUAAAUUUUGUUUUUGUUGAACAAUCAUACAUGCUGGCUCCUAUUGACCAUAACUCCUUCAACUUAUCUAUCAAUGUUUGUAGAAAAAUAUCUAGUGACCGCUUUAGAUGCUUCUGACUAGUGAAUAAUAUUCUCAUGAAUAGAAAUUUUCGUUCCAUGCACAACUCUGGUGGUAGGUUGUACAGCGUAAGAAUGACUUGGCCACAACGAAUAUUGUCUCGCAGAUAUUCCAAAUUGGCUGAAUCCAUAUGUGCAUAACUAAAGAUAAACAUUUCAAAUAUUUCUAGGGAAAUCUAGGGUGAUUCAUAUUGAAAUGUUUUCAUGGUCUUGCAUCUGAUGGAUGAGUGACCUCUCCAUCCUUCUAGACAUGGUCAGCACGCUAUCUUCUCGCUUCAGGAAUCCUUUGGGAUUUAUAUAAUCUUUCCAACAUGUCUGUAAUUGGUAGGUACCAUAUCCUUUGGUAUGGUACCCUAUUCUGCACACGUCCUUGCGGUUUGAAUUGUGGCUUUUUGCCUAAGUAACACUCUUGUUCCUUGUCAUCGUCCCUCAAGUAGAUUAUGUAAUAAUCGAUGCAAACAUCAAUCAUCUCCGAAGGCAACCCAAGACUAUAAACCAAUUUAUGAAUCUAGUAAAAAGAAUCGGCUGACACGUUGUCCUCUGACAAAUACUCUUUAAACAACUCGGCCCAUGCAUACAUGCAAUUCUCAUAUUAAUUAUGAUUAGUUUUAAUAUUCAUCAACCCACCUGAUAGAGACAAUUUAGAGACACCUUCUCUACAACCAGUGUAGAUUAGUUAAUUCGCAACAUCUAACAUUUCAUUAAAAAAAUUGCAUCUAAAUUAGGUUCUUCAAAAUUUUCAGUUUCAUCAGAUAUUGUUGUAGUAGUUUCUAAAGAUGCAUAUGUUACCAUGUCGUGAACUCUACCAUGAUCAACCAUUUUCUCCUCAUUUUCAUUAUUCAAAUGAUUUGGUUCCUGAUCACUAUUACCAACAUUUUAAAAUUACUAUUACUACUACUAUAUUUACUAAGUUGGUCCAUACAGUUUUACUACGGGAAAUUUUGUAUUCUUUCACUUCUGACAAGGACAGAACAUCUUAUUGUUUUCAUGUGUGAUCGGUAUAAAACCAGCUUAGAACAUGAAUAUCUCCAGCCCAUUGAGAAACUCCUUCGUCACUCUCGUUUCAGAAUAUUUGUGCGUAGACAUCUAACUUCGUAACUCGUAUAUAUUGCCAUCACUAGACAUUUUUUUCCUUCACAUCUCUAUGUUCUUUUUUUGUGUCUUCCAUGCUCAAAAGAAUAUCAUAUAUAUGAAAUUUUUUUCAUUAGUAGGUAAAAAAUUUUAGGCUCAAGAAAAUGUCAUAUAUAUAUAUGUAUAUGAAAUUUUCUUCAAUGGUAGGUAAGAAUUUAACAAUAGAUUUAUAACGAAAAGGUUACAAGUCUUUUACUUCAGUAUAACAACGACUUUAUGAAUAAAUAAUAAGUUAGAUAUAGUCCACUAAAACUCGUUUUCACCAAAUAUUUCAAUUUUACUCGUCGUCUUUAAACAAAUGUAAAGUGUGUCGUCAUUAAAUACUCUUCAUUUUAGAGCGACUUUAAAAAAAAUCUUUUCACUCAUCGUAAAAUCGUCGUAAAUUAACAUGUGUUUUACUAUGAAUAUUCGUUCUCGUAAAUUUAUUUCUGCUUUACAACGAGUAAGUUUUUCCACGUAGACUACUCAUUAAAAAUCAUCGUUAAUUUACAACGACCAUUUUCUCCUUGUAAAUUUUAGUAAUAAAUGAUAUUUUUUCUUCUAGCGUAAAUUAUUUCAUCACUUAUUAAAUAGGGAUAUUUGCCAAAACUAACCCACAACUUGAUUUUAACCCCAAACCUAUACCCAAACUUGAAUCAAAUGCAAAACUAACCUAAAAGCCUAGUGAAAUUACAGCUCAGCCCCUUGUGACAAAACAAAAAAACAGAAGCCAUUUUUA